AUUUAAUAAUUUAUAAUUUUUUUAAGAUUAAAAAUUUUAUAUAAUAAAAAUUUAGAAAUUAUUUGAGUUUUAGUAUUAAAUAAAAAUAAAUUUUAAUUUAAAAUUUAACUGUAAAGGAAGAUUUAAAAUUUAAAAAAGAUUAUUUAAUUUAUAGUACCUUUUGUAUCAGGGAUUAUUAAAAUUUAAAAUAAAAAUUUAUUAAUCUCGAAUUAGAAAGAGUUAAUUUUAAUAUAAUAGUUAAUGUGAAAUAAUUAUUAUAAAUAUAGAAUUAGGAAUGAAAUGUUAGUCGAUUUUUAAGAUAUCUAGUUUUUUAAUAUAAAAAUUUAAUUUUUUUAUAAUUUAUAUUCUUAAUUAGUAAAUAAUUAGUAAUUUAGUUAUGAGAUAAAAUUUAUGGGAUAAACUAUAAGUUUAAAUUAAAUAUUUUAAAAAAAAUUUUUAAAAUUUAAAGAUUAAAAUUUUUAUAAUUAAAAAGUUUUUAAUAAUUUAUUUAUUAAACUUUAAAUAAAAUUUUAAAAAAUAUUAAUUUAAUAUUAAAAUAAAUUUAUAAAUUAAAAAAAAAUUAUAAUAAUGAUGAUAUUAGUAUAAAAUAAUUUAAUGUAAAAUUAUAGAUUAAAUUUUAAAAAUUAAGUAAAGGAAUUAGGCAAAUUGAGAAUUCACUUGUUUAACAAAAACAUGUUUUUUUGAUAAUAAUUAAAAAUUUACUCUGCCCAAUGAAAAUUUAAAUGGCCGCAGUAUUUUGACUGUGCAAAGGUAGCAUAAUAAAUAGUUUUUUAAUUGAGGACUAGAAUGAAUGAGGGGAUGAAAUUUUAACUGUCUCUAAUUAAAUAUUAAAAAUUUAUUUUAAGUAAAAAUUCUUAAAUUAAUUUAAGGGACGAGAAGACCCUAUAGAAUUUAAAAAUUUAGAUUAUUUGGAAUUAUAAUAUUUUUAUUUAAAUAAUUAAAAAUUUUUUUAUUGGGAUGAUAUUAAAAUUUAAUAAACUUUUGAUUUAAAAAUCCAAAAAUUAGUGAUUUUAUAAAUGUUUAUAAAUAAAAUAAGAUAAAAUUACCUUAGGGAUAACAGCGUAAUAAAUUUUUAAAGUUCAAAUUAAAAAAUUUGAUUGCGACCUCGAUGUUGAAUUAAAAUAAAAUUUAAGUGAAGAAGCUUAAAAUUUGAGUCUGUUCGACUUUUAAAAUUUUACAUGAUUUG
rnacentral:rRNA from 1 species